CCCACCUGAUGUGGUAGAAGAUCAGAACGUCUUCAAGGACCACCUUCAGGCACGGGCUGAGAAGGAUGUGGUGGUUUUUGACCAGGUGAGACUGAACAUCGACAAGGCGCAGGUGAAACAGAAGUAGAGCCACCAGAGGAGAAUCAAGAAGGGGACCACGUGCUUUGACAUCUGGGCGAUUGACUUGAUUUGCAAGAAGAACGAAAUGAAGGGUUACCUCGGUGGUAGCCAACAAUCUCCUCCAGUUGGAGCAGUUGGACGGUCAACUAUUGAAAGCCCUGACACCCUACACUUCGGUGAAGC